CAAGGCUAGUAAAUCAAACUCCCAAAAACUUUCUCCACUGAACUUAACCUGUAACCUUUACCAUUUAGAGGAAUUUCCAUCCUGUGAGGUUCCCAAGAUUUGCUAAAUCUACCAGCCUGAUUCUCUCUCUGCACCAUGUGGCUGCUGCAGGAAACUGGGGAGGGAUGGUGUCGACAAUUCAAGACUAUUUUUUCCUACCCUCUUCAGUGCCUCCUUCCCUGAUAUGAUGUUAAAACCAGGUGUUGUUUCACAGAGAGUUUUUAAAUUGUAGACAUUUUGGAUGGUGAUUUGAUUAUUUAUUUUGUUUUAGUUUCUAUUUCCUUGCAUUGUGAUCAGAGAAUAUUAUUAAUCUUGUUUUAUUUUAUCGAGACCUGAAGUUGUGGAGCAGAAGAUAAAAGCCAUGUUCCCUAUGCCAUGUUUAAAUUACCUC